rnacentral:rRNA from 1 species
CAGCCGCCGCGGUAAUACCGGCGGCCCGAGUGGCGGUCACUAUUAUUGGGCUUAAAGCGUCCGUAGCCGGGUUGGGAAGUCCUCCGGGAAAUCUGGCCGCUUAACGGUCAGAAUGCCGGAGGAUACUCCCAGCCUAGGGAGCGGGAGAGGCCGAGGGGUUUCCCGGGGUAGGGGUGAAAUCCUAUAAUCCCGGGAGGACCACCUGUGGCGAAGGCGCUCGGCUGGAACGCGUCCGACGAUGAGGGACGAAGACCAGGGGAGCAAACCGGAUUAGAUACCCGGGUAGUCCUGGCUGUAAACGAUGCGGACUUUGUGUCGGACAAGCUAUGAGCUUGUCCGGUGCCGGAGGGAAACCGUUAAGUCCGCCGCCUGGGGAGUACGGCCGCAAGGCUGAAACUUAAAGGAAUUGGCGGG